rnacentral:rRNA from 1 species
AGUGAACGCUGGCGGUAGGCCUAACACAUGCAAGUCGAACGGCAGCACAGUAAGAGCUUGCUCUUACGGGUGGCGAGUGGCGGACGGGUGAGGAAUACAUCGUAAUCUACUUUUUCGUGGGGGAUAACGUAGGGAAACUUACUCUAAUACCGCAUACGACCUACGGGUGAAAGCAGGGGAUCUUCGGACCUUGCGCGAUUGAAUGAGCCGAUGUCGGAUUAGCUAGUUGGCGGGGUAAAGGCCCACCAAGGCGGCGAUCCGUAGCUGGUCUGAGAGGAUGAUCAGCCACACUGGAACGGAGACACGGUCCAGACUCCUACGGGAGGCAGCAGUGGGGAAUAUUGGACAAUGGGCGCAAGCCUGAUCCAGCCAUACCGCGUGGGUGAAGAAGGCCUUCGGGUUGUAAAGCCCUUUUGUUGGGAAAGAAAAGCAGCAGGUUAAUACCCCGCUGUUCUGACGGUACCCAAAGAAUAAGCACCGGCUAACUUCGUG